AUUGAACGCUGGCGGCGUGCCUAACACAUGCAAGUCGAGCGGUAACAGGUGUAGCAAUACAUGCUGACGAGCGGCGAACGGGUGAGUAAUGCUUCGGAAUCUGCCCAUGUAGUGGGGAAUAACCAGCCGAAAGGUUGGCUAAUACCGCAUACGACCUACGGGUGAAAGCAGGGGAUCGCAAGACCUUGCGCUAUUGGAUGAGCCGAAGUCGGAUUAGCUGUUGGUAGGGUAACGGCCUACCAAGGCGACGAUCCGUAGCUGGUCUGAGAGGACGACCAGCCACACUGGGACUGAGACACGGCCCAGACUCCUACGGGAGGCAGCAGUGGGGAAUAUUGGACAAUGGGGCAACCUGAUCCAGCGACGCCGCGUGUGUGAAGAAGGCCUGCGGGUUGUAAAG
rnacentral:rRNA from 1 species